GCGCCUGGCGUCACUGAGGGUGUCACCCGGGACCGCGGCUCAGGAACCCCAGACGCACGGGCCUUGUGCUGUCGCUGCCGUGGCACCCCUUCUAGAAGUUCUGGAGGUUAGAAGUUCCAGAUCAAGGUAUCGGCAGAUUUGGUUUCUUCUGAGGCCUCUCUCCUUGGCUUGCAGAUAGACUUCUAUCGGCUAGAAGACUUGUCUUCUCACGGUGGUGUCCUCACAUGGUCUUUCCUCUGUGCAUGCACAUGUCUGUGUGCUAAUCUCCUUAUAAAGACCAAUGAGAAACUUGCAGUUUGCAUGGUCCGAGUGUUCUCCCUAUUGCCAUAGUCCCUCUCCUCCUAUUGUAAUAAUCAUUUUGAAUCAAGUCUCUCCUUACCCAAAUCCACAUUUGUUUUUAUUUGCCAUUUCCGUCCUGCUUACCAUGUGUUUAGCUGUGGCAGCCUAGUGGGAAUUGAGCAAAUACAUAGCCAACUACAACCUAGGAAGGUAUGUAUUGUGCAGGGCCUGUUACAUCAUUUUCAUGUAAGAUGAAAAUGCUGAAUGCCUUAUUCAAAAGACAAAGGCAAAAGUGCCCCUGAAGUACUAAAAUAUGUUUUUGCUUUUCUUCUAUAGUCUCUCUCAACUUGUUACGGUGUCUCUUUUAAUUUAGUGUAAUUGUAAAUAAAUAAAAAUUAAAUUUUUUAUUAGCAUGAAUUUACUAUUCAUCAUUAUAUUGUGCAAUGUCAGUUAAAUAUAUGUAUGGCCAAGUGUGGUGGCUCAUGCCUGUAAUCUGUGCACUUUGGGAGGCUGAAGUGGGAGGAUUGCUUGAGCCCGGGAGUUCAAGACCAGCGGGGGCAACAGAAUGAGAGCCCCCUCUCUACAAAAAAAAAAAAAAAAAAAAAAAAAAAGCUAGCUGGGUCUCUACAAAAACAAAACAAAACAAAACAAAACAAAGCUAGCAUGUGGCACAUGCCUGUGGUUCCAGCUACUUGGGAGGCUGAGGUGGGAAGACCCUUUGAGCACAGGUAGUUGAAGCUAUAGUGAGCCAUGAUCACAUCACUGCACUCCAGCAUGGGCAGCAGAGCAAGACCCUGUCUCUAAAAAUUAAAUAAAUAAAUAAACAAACAAAUAAAUGCAAAUAUAAGAGCACUUAACUCAUAUGUGGAAUUACCAAAAUUACACAAUUCAU
rnacentral:lncRNA from 1 species